rnacentral:lncRNA from 1 species
CAUGGCGCCACUAGGUCCAUCCCCACUCGCUCCUCUUGGUCUUCCCACUGCUUUUGAAUCCGAGUGGACACAGAAAUAUCAGUGGGCAAGUGGCGUCAACAUUGGGACCUAUAGAUCAAGAUUCCCCAAGCUGGAUGAACCUGUGGUUGUGAGUACCUUACCAUUUGAUGUUUUCUAUUAGCACAAGUUUAUUUGUGAGAAAAUCAUGUUAAGUAGUACAGAUGCAGUGAUAAAGGUCUUCCAUGCUGAUAAAGGGUGACAGUUUGUCUUAGGAAGGAACAUUGAUCCAGAUAUAUUACAGUCUGGCAUUGCCUAUGAAUAUACUGUUAAAUUCCCUGGAAAUGUGCCCAGUGACUCCCUCCUCCUGCUUAUUAACAACAGACUGCAUACUUCCAUCCCAACAUAGAUUUAAAUAACUUCCAAAGUCUUUCUGGGUAACUCUUAUGGGAGCUAACUCUUCUCUGUGGGAAGAGUAACUUUAUUAAAAGUAAGUA